GUAUGGUUCAAGAUUGUUCUGGUCAAAUCUGAGUUUGACCGGUUCUGUGCUGGUUUUGUCCAGGCCAGUUCUGGUCCAAACACGGAUUGUGCCUAUGUCUAGUUCUAUAAGCAUUUUGGAUUAAGGGUGCAAAUUGAACUGUUGUCAUGCAGUAUUGUACAAUAAAUAAAUAAAUAUAUUUAGAUGAAGGAAGAAGACAGAGGCACCUACAGGCUACUGAAUCGGAGUUCAUUGUGUUAGAAAUGUCCUUUGAACUCAAUUAAUUCACACCUUCCACAGCUUUCAAUUUGAUAUUUUGGAAAGUAGAUGUAAAUUAGAACAUAGUUUGCUAAGCUUCCUCCUAUUGAUAUUGCAGGACUUGAAUGGCUGCUUGCAUGUCUGCUGGACUAUAUUGUUAUUUUUAUCCUUUCUAUUAGGACACUUAUUAUUAUUGUUCUUUUAAUUUAAAGUUUGUACACUUAUUAAUGUUUCUCAGGUUGACCUGCUUCUUGCUU
rnacentral:misc_RNA from 1 species